CCUACGGGAGGCAGCAGUGAGGAAUAUUGGUCAAUGGGCGAGAGCCUGAACCAGCCAAGUAGCGUGCAGGACGACGGCCCUAUGGGUUGUAAACUGCUUUUAUAAGGGAAUAAAGUGGGUCACGUGUGACUUUUUGCAUGUACCUUAUGAAUAAGGACCGGCUAAUUCCGUGCCAGCAGC
rnacentral:rRNA from 1 species